rnacentral:tRNA from 2 species
CGACUUAGCUCAAUUGGCAGAGCAACGCAUUCGUAAUGCGUAGGUUGAUGGUUCAAUUCCGUUAGUCGGC